rnacentral:rRNA from 1 species
UGGGGAAUUUUGGACAAUGGGCGCAAGCCUGAUCCAGCAAUGCCGCGUGUGUGAAGAAGGCCUUCGGGUUGUAAAGCACUUUUGUCCGGAAAGAAAUCCGUCUGGCUAAUACCCGGACGGGAUGACGGUACCGGAAGAAUAAGCACCGGCUAACUACGUGCCAGCAGCCGCGGUAAUACGUAGGGUGCGAGCGUUAAUCGGAAUUACUGAGCGUAAAGCGUGCGCAGGCGGUUUUGUAAGACAGAGGUGAAAUCCCCGGACUCAACCUGGGAACUGCCUUUGUGACUGCAAAGCUGGAGUGCGGCAGAGGGUGAUGGAAUUCCGCGUGUAGCAGUGAAAUGCGUAGAUAUGCGGAGGAACACCGAUGGCGAAGGCAAUCCCCUGGGCCUGCACUGACGCUCAUGCACGAAAGCGUGGGGAGCAAACA